AUGGAUACAGGUGCAAUUACAGACCUGUCAGUAUAUCCACCACCUGACCGAGACAGAGGGAAGGAACACCUAUCUUGUGGCACUGGUUUUAACCUUCAUAGCUUUCAUAAUGAGACCAAGUUGCCUUUUCCUAGGAAAUCAACCCAGCAUGCUCCAUCAGUCUUUCCCUUGAGGCCCUGCUGUGGAUCCCUGGGCUCCGACUCUCAUGUCACUGUGGGUUGUUUGUCUUCUGGAUUCCUUCCUGCACCAGUAACUGUCAAAUGGAAUUCAGGAGCCAUAACAAGUGGAAUAAAGAACUUUCCAGCUGUCCUGCAGCAAAGUGGCUCAUUUGCCUCCAGUAGCCAACUGACCAUCCCUCUGUCUGACUGGAAGGAUAAAUCCUUUGAGUGUAAUGUGGAACAUGCACCAACCAGUACCAAAGUAAACAAAAAGAUACCAGAUUGCAAAGAUGAAACUGAACCAAGUGAACCAACUGUGGAGAUUUUGCAAGGAUCUUGCGCUGCUCCUAAUUCAAUUGAAUUGCUCUGCCUUAUGACUGAAUAUGCUCCUUCAGAAAUCAAAGUGCAGUGGUUGCGCAAUGGCGAAGAUGCAUCUCUUGCUCCAUCCAACAGCCCUCCCUGCAAGGAAGACAAUGGGACAUUUGCCUCCAGAAGUAAAGUGUUUGUUCCAAAAGAAGACUGGAAUUCUGGAGAUACCUAUACCUGCAGGGUCACCCACCCUGCUACCAGAAGCAAGACUGAUGUCAGCAUCUCAAAAUGCAGUGACACAGCCUUAACGCCAAAGGUGGAGGUUCUUCCUCCAACUCCCAAAGAUCUGCUUGUUAACAGAGAACCCAAAGUGUACUGUGUGAUCUCCAAGAUGGCAAGUGCAGAAGGCUUAACUGUGAAAUGGUCCCGCAGUGAUAAAAAGAGAGUCAUUGCAUUUGAUUCACCCCCGGAAAAAGAGUAUGAUGGAACUUUCACUGUAAAAAGCAUUUUGAAAAUAAGUUCUGGGGACUGGCAACCCCGCAACCAAUUUAGCUGCAACAUUAUACAUCCGGACCUUCCAUCACCAAUAGAAAAGUCAAUACAAAAAGAUCAAGAUCAAGGAGCAGAACCAAUCAUCUCUCUGCUGCCACCUUCAGAUGACGAACUUAGAAAUGAUUUUGUAAGUCUUGUCUGCGUGGUUAAAGACUUCAAACCCAAAGAGAUCUAUAUAUUUUGGAAAAAAGAUGGUGUUCCAAUAGAGAAAGAAUACUAUAUCACCACUACUCCUGUGUUGGAAGAGGAAGAAGAUACCUACCUUGCAUUUAGUAAACUCACCAUUGCUAAAUCAGACUGGAUAAGAGGAGCUACUUUUAGCUGCAUUGCUGCACACAACACGAUCAGUCAGAGAGACAUCAAGAAAAAUAGGGGUAAAUGAGUCUUGAAUUCUGUGUUCUUAAUUCUCUGCUUUAUGUAUUAGCUAUAUACAUCCUUCACAUAGUUUUCUGUCUUCUCAGUUUGGUGUGUGGAACAUCAAACCAUCAUUUUUCAUGGUAGAAAGAUCUCCUCAACCACUAAUUUGAGAAGAGUCUGUUUACGUGUUACAAUGCCCUCUAACCUUCAAUAUUCCUGCCUGCAUCUGCAUCUGGUGUAAGGUUAUUGUAGUACGUAAAUAGGCACAAAAGUACACAGUUAAUAAUGUAAUUUAUCCCAGUUUUGGAAAUAUCCUGACCUGUUUAAGUUUUGAUAGUCAUAGUACCAUUUUAGUCAAAAUAUUGUGCUCCAGCGCCUAAUCUCUGUGUCUGUCUGAUGUGUGGAACACCAGAUGUAGAAACUUCUUGUCUGUCAACUUAUGUGUGCUCUUAUUUCAAUAA